CACUGGCUCCUUUCUGGGUAGA
rnacentral:miRNA from 3 species